AACUCGGGCGGUGCUAAUAUGUGUACGCUGACGCCUGGGGUUAGUAGUUUCGGCCGCGUGGAUGUGGAUCUGAACUUGGUGGCCGGGAACUCACCUUCCCAGCGACCCAUUUGACAGGGCGGGGCGCCUCACGAAGAUGGUGGCGCGCGCGGCGUGUGGCUCCAGUCGUCUUCGCCAGUCUCAGCUCAGCACACGGGCCGGCGUUUCGCUGGUUUGGAGUCCCCGCCCUCCGGGUCCCUGACCCCGCGCCCCCUUCCCGUGUCCCCAAUUUCUGGUUCCAGGAAUGCCUCGCGCUCGUAAGGGCAAUGCGCUCCGCAAGGGCGGUCAGCGCCGUGGAGGAGGUGCCAGGAGCAGUACUCAAGCUGACUCUGGUUCCAGUGAGGACGAAGCGGCCAGCGAGGCCCGGAGCACCACCAGUGAAUGUCCCAGCCUUCUCAGCACCGCCACAGAGGACUGCCUGGGUGGGGAAGCUGUGGAUGAACAGAGCCAGCAGGAACACCUGGAGGAAAAGCUGAAGGAUUACGUGGACUGCCUGACUGACAAGAGUGCCAAGACCCGGCAAGGAGCUCUGGAGAGCCUGCGCCUGGCCCUGGCCUCCCGCCUACUUCCGGACUUUUUGCUGGAGCGCAGCCUCACUCUGGCGGAUGCCCUGGAAAAGUGCCUUAAGAAAGGGAAGGGUGAAGAACAGGCCCUGGCUGCUGCUGUGCUAGGCCUGCUCUGUGUGCAGUUGGGCCCUGGACCCAAGGGCGAGGAGCUGUUCCAUAGCCUGCAGCCCCUGCUAAUCUCGGUGCUCAGUGACGGUUCGGCAAGCCCCACUGCCCGGCUCCAUUGUGCUUCUGCUCUUGGCUUGGGCUGUUAUGUGGCUGCCACCGAUGUCCAGGACCUGGUCUCUUGCUUGGCCUGCUUGGAAGGUGUUUUCAGCUGCUCCUGUGGCACUAGUGGCUCUGCUGCUUCUCUGGUUCCUGCCAGCCUACAUGGCCUGCUCUGUGCUGCCCUGCAGGCCUGGGCACUGCUGCUCACCAUCUGUCCUAGUACCCACAUCAACCAUAUCCUUGACAGGCAGCUGCCCCGGCUGCCCCAGCUCUUGUCCAGUGAAAGUGUGAACCUGCGGAUUGCUGCUGGUGAAGCCAUCGCCCUGCUCUUUGAGCUUGCCCGGGACCUUGAGGAGGACUUCGUGUAUGAGGACAUGGAGGCUCUCUGCUGCUCUCUGCGUACCCUGGCCACUGACAGCAAUAAAUACCGUGCCAAGAUUGACCGUCGACGCCAGCGCUCCAUUUUCCGCGCUGUGCUGCACUUUGUCGAGGGUGGCGAGUGUGAGGAGGAGACAAUCCGCUUUGGACUGGAAGUGCUCUACAUAGACAGCUGGGCUCGCCACCGCAUCUACACAGCCUUCAAAGAUGUGCUGGGCUCCGGCAUGCACUAUCACCUCCAGAACAAUGAGCUUCUCCGUGACAUCUUUGGCCUGGGCCCUGUGCUAGUACUGGAUGCUGCUGCCCUGAAGGCCUGCAAGAUUUCACGAUUUGAAAAGCACCUGUACAAUGCUGCGGCCUUCAAAGCCCGGACCAAGGCCCGGAGUCGUGCAAGGGACAAGCGGGCAGAUAUCUUGUGACUCAGACUGGCCAACGAGAAGGCUACCCAACCCAUACCAUAUUUUUAACAGAAGAUAGUGCAGAACUGGUCCCUGCCAGUGAUUGUCACUUUAUUUUUUUAAUGAUGAAGCCAAAAAUAGACAAAUGUGGGAGGGUCAAGGGAUCAGGACACUUAGACUCAAGCCCUUUGUGCCCUCAGCCCUGUGGCUGUGGCCUCUUCCUGUCCUGUCUCAGGUGAAAUCAAAUGUGUGCUGGUCCUGCAGGUGAUGGGUGGGCAGUGAGAAAGGACUGUCCCCUUUGUUUUUUAGACCUUGCCCCCUGGGGCUGCUUCCUUUGGGGGUCUGGCACCUGGCCACCAUGGCAUAGGGUAGGCAAAGCUGCCUAGAAUGGAUGUGUGUGCUGAUUUAUUAAAGAUAAGAGAGAAUUAAACAAUACUCAGAUCAGAAGG